UAAUUUCUACAAUGCCUAUAACCUGCAAAUAUGGCCGCAUAACAAAUAAUAUUAAAACUUUCUCAAUCAUAAUAUUGCAAUACAACAUUCAUAAAGACAACAGCCAAAAAAGUUCACACAUACAAAAUUAUGUGUCCAAAAGGCAACUUCUGAACAGAAUUCAAAGCAAACAGCAUCUGUAGCUUUCCAUAUAUUAAACAGAAGAAUUGCAAUGCUUAAUAGAGACAAUUAAUAGAACAUCAACUCAAAUGAUAAAAUCAAACAAACAAA
rnacentral:misc_RNA from 1 species